AAGUCGAACGCGUUGGCCCAAUUGAUUGAUGGUGCUUGCACCUGAUUGAUUUUGGUCGCCAACGAGUGGCGGACGGGUGAGUAACACGUAGGUAACCUGCCCAGAAGCGGGGGACAACAUUUGGAAACAGAUGCUAAUACCGCAUAACAGCGUUGUUCGCAUGAACAACGCUUAAAAGAUGGCUUCUCGCUAUCACUUCUGGAUGGACCUGCGGUGCAUUAGCUUGUUGGUGGGGUAAUGGCCUACCAAGGCGAUGAUGCAUAGCCGAGUUGAGAGACUGAUCGGCCACAAUGGGACUGAGACACGGCCCAUACUCCUACGGGAGGCAGCAGUAGGGAAUCUUCCACAAUGGGCGCAAGCCUGAUGGAGCAACACCGCGUGAGUGAAGAAGGGUUUCGGCUCGUAAAGCUCUGUUGUUAAAGAAGAACACGUAUGAGAGUAACUGUUCAUACGUUGACGGUAUUUAACCAGAAAGUCACGGCUAACUACGUGCCAGCAGCCGCGGUAAUACGUAGGUGGCAAGCGUUAUCCGGAUUUAUUGGGCGUAAAGAGAGUGCAGGCGGUUUUCUAAGUCUGAUGUGAAAGCCUUCGGCUUAACCGGAGAAGUGCAUCGGAAACUGGAUAACUUGAGUGCAGAAGAGGGUAGUGGAACUCCAUGUGUAGCGGUGGAAUGCGUAGAUAUAUGGAAGAACACCAGUGGCGAAGGCGGCUACCUGGUCUGCAACUGACGCUGAGACUCGAAAGCAUGGGUAGCGAACAGGAUUAGAUACCCUGGUAGUCCAUGCCGUAAACGAUGAGUGCUAGGUGUUGGAGGGUUUCCGCCCUUCAGUGCCGGAGCUAACGCAUUAAGCACUCCGCCUGGGGAGUACGACCGCAAGGUUGAAACUCAAAGGAAUUGACGGGGGCCCGCACAAGCGGUGGAGCAUGUGGUUUAAUUCGAAGCUACGCGAAGAACCUUACCAGGUCUUGACAUCUUGCGCCAACCCUAGAGAUAGGGCGUUUCCUUCGGGAACGCAAUGACAGGUGGUGCAUGGUCGUCGUCAGCUCGUGUCGUGAGAUGUUGGGUUAAGUCCCGCAACGAGCGCAACCCUUGUUACUAGUUGCCAGCAUUAAGUUGGGCACUCUAGUGAGACUGCCGGUGACAAACCGGAGGAAGGUGGGGACGACGUCAGAUCAUCAUGCCCCUUAUGACCUGGGCUACACACGUGCUACAAUGGACGGUACAACGAGUCGCGAACUCGCGAGGGCAAGCAAAUCUCUUAAAACCGUUCUCAGUUCGGACUGCAGGCUGCAACUCGCCUGCACGAAGUCGGAAUCGCUAGUAAUCGCGGAUCAGCAUGCCGCGGUGAAUACGUUCCCGGGCCUUGUACACACCGCCCGUCACACCAUGAGAGUUUGUAACACCCAAAGUCGGUGGGGUAACCUUUUAGGAGCCAGCC
rnacentral:rRNA from 1 species